UAUGGUCAUUGUGGGAAAGCCGCCGCGGUAAAACGUAGGUCACAAGCGUUGUCCGGAAUUACUGGGUGUAAAGGGAGCGCAGGCGGGAAGACAAGUUGGAAGUGAAAUCUAUGGGCUCAACCCAUAAACUGCUUUCAAAACUGUUUUUCUUGAGUAGUGCAGAGGUAGGCGGAAUUCCCGGUGUAGCGGUGGAAUGCGUAGAUAUCGGGAGGAACACCAGUGGCGAAGGCGGCCUACUGGGCACCAACUGACGCUGAGGCUCGAAAGUGUGGGUAGCAAACAGG
rnacentral:rRNA from 1 species